GCCCCUCCUGGGCCUUGUGGGCCGGGCAGCCAUUUUGGGAAGAGCUUUGUUAUGAUUGUAGGCUAGUCAUCUUUACCGGUCUGAGAAGCUGGAAACGGGUUCUCAGACGCCUUGUCUUGUUUUUGACUGGAACCCCGCCGCUGCCGGAUUGGUAGAUUCAAGUGGCCUUUUGAGUAAUGAUGGAGAUGGAUCCAAAUUAAUCAGCAACUUUUCUACCAAAGCAGCAGAAGAGUCUUCAUAUCACCUUCUAAAAGCUCUAUUCAGAUUUUCAGAAGGAGGCCAACAAGUGAAAUACUAAAAACUUUUUAAAGAGAAGACAAUCUCAUUUGGGAAUUGUCUUUCUCUUUGCCCCCCUAUCUUUUUACUUGUUUUAAUUUUGCUCUGAAUUUAUAGUGAAGACCAAAGAAAUAGGGUAUACAUUUAGGAGCUUUAUACCAAGAAAUUUGCCUUGAAAGUUACUAUUCUGUGGAAAGAAAAGCAUAUUCAGUUCCUGACUUUUUUUUUUUUUAAGUAAGAUUUCUAAUGUCCUUAGACUUUGAAGGUUAAGACUAUUGUAAAUACAUGUCUACACACUGUUUUUUAGCAGUUGUGUAAGAAUAAUGAGAUUUGUGUUUUAAAGGUGUUGUCUUGUGGAUUUGCCAGAAGAUUUUUAUACUGCUUUAAUACUGUAUUUUUCAUCUAUUGCUUUGAUGACAUUACUUGCCCACAUGGGAGGCUACCUGUCUUUCUAGCUAUGACCUUGUUAUGAACAGUGUUUGUACUCACUGUGCAAAUGUCCAUGUAUUACCGAUUUAAGCAUCAUCAUAGAGCCAUUGCUUAAGGAAGUUGAAUGAGGUGAACAUUGACAUAGCUCUUUCCCCUUUUCCCCUUUUUUAAAUGUAACAAAUACCUUUUAUGUUCCCCUUCCCCCUUCCCCUUUCCCUUUCCCCCUUUUGGAGAAGUGUCAGGAGCUAGGUAGUAUAGGAUAAGCAACUAAGGGAACGAAGAAAGUAAGCUACACAGAGCUGGGC
rnacentral:lncRNA from 1 species